AGUGGGGAAUAUUGGACAAUGGGCGAAAGCCUGAUCCAGCAAUGCCGCGUGAGUGAUGAAGGCCUUAGGGUUGUAAAGCUCUUUUACCAGGGAUGAUAAUGACAGUACCUGGAGAAUAAGCUCCGGCUAACUCCGUGCCAGCAGCCGCGGUAAUACGGAGGGAGCUAGCGUUGUUCGGAAUUACUGGGCGUAAAGAGUACGUAGGCGGUGAUUCAAGUCAGAGGUGAAAGCCUGGAGCUCAACUCCAGAACUGCCUUUGAAACUAGAUCGCUAGAAUUGUGGAGAGGUUAGUGGAAUUCCGAGUGUAGAGGUGAAAUUCGUAGAUAUUCGGAAGAACACCAGUGGCGAAGGCGACUAACUGGACACAUAUUGACGCUGAGGUACGAAAGCGUGGGGAGCAAACAGGAGUU
rnacentral:rRNA from 1 species